rnacentral:rRNA from 1 species
UACGUAGGGUGCAAGCGUUAAUCGGAAUACUGGGCGUAAAGCGUGCGCAGGCGGUGAUGUAAGACAGAUGUGAAAUCCCCGGGCUCAACCUGGGAACUGCAUUUGUGACUGCAUCGCUGGAGUGCGGCAGAGGGGGAUGGAAUUCCGCGUGUAGCAGUGAAAUGCGUAGAUAUGCGGAGGAACACCGAUGGCGAAGGCAAUCCCCUGGGCCUGCACUGACGCUCAUGCACGAAAGCGUG